UAGGACGUUUGAUCCUGGCGUCAGGACGAACGCUGGCGGCGUGCUUAACACAUGCAAGUCGAACGGAAAGGCCCUGCUUUUGUGGGGUGCUCGAGUGGCGAACGGGUGAGUAACACGUGAGUAACCUGCCCUUGACUUUGGGAUAACUUCAGGAAACUGGGGCUAAUACCGGAUAGGAGCUCCUGCUGCAUGGUGGGGUUGGAAAGUUUCGGCGGUUGGGAUGGACUCGCGGCUUAUCAGCUUGUUGUGGGGUAGUGGCUUACCAAGGCUUUGACGGGUAGCCGGCCUGGGAGGGUGACCGGCCACAUUGGGACUGAGAUACGGCCCAGACUCCUACGGGAGGCAGCAGUGGGGAAUAUUGCACAAUGGGCGGAAGCCUGAUGCAGCAACGCCGCGUGCGGGAUGACGGCCUUCGGGUUGUAAACCGCUUUCGCCUGUGACGAAGCGUGAGUGACGGUAAUGGGUAAAGAAGCACCGGCUAACUACGUG
rnacentral:rRNA from 1 species